rnacentral:lncRNA from 1 species
CUCCCCCGCCUCGGGGACCCCCCUGUCACCCCCUGUGUCACCCCGUGUCCCCCCCAGGCGCUGCUGCGGAGGAACAAGCGGCCCUGGGAGCCCCGGGAGGAGGACGAGGAGUUCGCGGCCGAGGAGGAGGAAGGUGAGGACGAGGAGGAGACCAUCGCGGCGCAGGAGCGGCUGGAGGGGGACGUGGACCACAAGCAGGAGCUGGACGACCUGGCGCGGGAGGGUGAGGGGCGUGUCGGGGCGUGUUACGGCGUGUGGGGGCGUGUUGGGGUGUGUUAUGGCGUGUGGGGGCAUGUUACGGCGUGCUGGGGCGUGUUACGGCAUGUUGCAGCGUGUUGAGCCCUGUUGCAAGUUGUGGCGUGUUGAUGCGUGUUGAAGUGUGUUGAGGCGUGUUAUACGUUGAUGCGUGUUUAAGUGUGAUGUAACAUGUUCUGUGUUACAGCGUGGUACAGCGUGCUGGGGCAUGUUACGGCGUGUUGUGGCGUGUUACGGCAUGUUGCAGCGUGUUGAGCCCUGUUGCAGCACGUAGCGGGUUGAGCCCUGUUGCAAGUUGUGGCGUGUUGAUGCGUGUUGAAGUGUGUUGAGGUGUGUUACACAUUGAUGCGUGUUUAAGUGUGAUGUACUGUGUUCUGUGUUACGGCGUGUUGGGGCGUGUUGAGCCAUGUUGCAGCACGUAGUGUGUUGAGCCCUGUUGCAAGUUGUGGCGUGUUGAUGCGUGUUUAAGUGUGUUGAGGUGUGUUACACGUUGAUGCGUGUUUAAGUGUGAUGUAGCAUGUUCUGUGUUGAGCCAUGUUGCAGCAUGUAGCGUGUUGAGCCCUGUUGCAAGUUGUGGCGUGUUGAUGCGUGUUGAAAUGUGUUGAGGCGUGUUACACAUUGGUGCGUGUUUAAGUGUGAUGUAGCAUGUUCUGUGUUAUGGCGUGUUGUGGCGUGUUACAGCAUGUUGCAGCAUGUUGAGCCAUGUUGCAGCACGUAGCGUGUUGAGCCCUGUUGCAAGUUGGGGCGUGUUGAUGCGUGUUGAAGUGUGUUGAGGCGUGUUACACGUUGAUGCGUGUUUAAGUGUGAUGUAACAUGUUCUGUGUUACGGCGUGCUGGGGCGUGUUGAGCCAUGUUGCAGCGUGUUGAGCCAUGUUGCAGCGUGUUGAGCCCUGUUGCAGCACGUAGCGGGUUGAGCCCUGUUGCAAGUUGUGGCGUGUUGAUGCGUGUUGAAGUGUGUUGAGGUGUGUUACACGUUGAUGCGUGUUUAAGUGUGAUGUAGCGUGUUCUGUGUUACGGCAUGUUGCAGCGUGUUGAGCCAUGUUGCAGCACGUAGUGUGUUGAGCCCUGUUGCAAGUUGUGGCGUGUUGAUGCGUGUUUAAGUGUGUUGAGGUGUGUUACAC